rnacentral:lncRNA from 1 species
GUCAAUAUAUAUAUAUAUAUAUAUUGCAUUAUAUACUAAACUAUUAAAAUACUAGUAUAAAUAUCUCUUGACAUACAAUAUAUAUAUUUUUUCAUAUAUAUAUAUAUAUAUAUGUAUUUAUUCAUUUAUAUAUAUAUAUAUAUAUAUAGUGUAGCGUGAUUUGGCGGAGCCGAAGAAAUGAUUUCGAGUUUAUCGAUUUUUUUUUAUCCUUCCUUUUUCUUUUCAUUCUUUUUUUGUUUUAAACGAUAUAUGUAUAUAUAUGUAUGUAUGUAUAUAUAUAUAUGUAUACGCAUUUCAACGUCUCCGCGAGGUUCACUUCCUCUCUCCUUAUCCCGCACUUUUUCACCCCUUUCAAUCUUCAAUCUCUCUCUCUCGCUCUCUCUCUUUCUCUCUCUUUCUCACACAGAUACGCUUUCUCUCCCUCACAUAUUAUUCAUUUUCUCUUUUUCUUUCUUUUUUUCUUUUCUUUUCUUGUUUAUACAUUUAUUGCUAUUGGAUUCAUUGCAUAGUAGUAGUUUCCCCCGUGUGAACUGAUAUUACUCACUUGUUACUACACUCCUUAUUUUUCCUCCAUAUUUAUUUUUUCCCCCCUCUUUUCUCGCUUCAUCCUUCCUUCUUGCUCCGUUUAUCGUUCCACUUGGUUCGUACGCGUUGAGCGUUUGUUGCCGAAGAGAAGACGUCGAGCGAUUUUCGUGUUCGAUUUUGUGGUUCGUUUUUUCUUCUUUCUUUUCUUUUUUUUUUUUUUUUUUUGUUUCGACCCUUCGUACAGUGACGACGAGAGGAAGCAGUACUACUUUCGAAAAAAGUAGUUCGUCCCCCAAAAAAACGGAGGAAAGCACGAAGAAGCACCGAAGGAACGAAAUUGCAAAAUUCUUCUUUCCUGUCCUUUUUCUUUUUCUUUUUUUUUUUCUUUUUUAUAUUUUUAUUUUUGUCCUCCGUUACUUGGAGGCAGGACAAUUCCUCUACUGUACCGUGUAACUUCUCCCCCGUGGAGGAACGAGUAUUGUUUUAUUUCAUUGUCCAAGGAAUGACAAACGUUUGCGGGAAUAAUUUCUCGCAAGAAGAGAGCGGUUGAACGAAACGUAAUGUAAAGAAACGAGAGAGAGUGGCAAGGGUUGCUACCGGAUUGAGCAAGGAAUUAUCGAUCGGUCUAUGUUUAUAACUCUCAUCAAAUUUCGAUGAGCGUUGAGCACCAAACGUAGAUUAAAGCUAUCUUAACUAUUUAACCUCUUGUCCUUUUAUUUGAAGAAAGACCUACUCCUCAACCACUAAUCCGCUCGCAUCGGUAUAACCGGUUAUCAAUUUAAUAAUCUGCUCUUUGAUAAGUCCGUUCGAAACUUAUCGAGGUAUACGUUAUAUAAAGUAUAUAUUACAACUGUAUCCUUUGAUACACUUCGUAUUAAUUUAUCUCUUUAUGCGUAGCGUUAGAAGCGGUCACGAGUUAAUGAAAUCCUCGAGUGAAACGAGGAGCCUUUUUCUCCGUAACAAUAAUUUAUCGAUCGAUCGAUCGAUAAAUUGGAAAUUGGCGCGAAAAAAAAAAAGAGAAGAAA